rnacentral:lncRNA from 1 species
AUAAGCUCCCGAUAUGUACAACCAAUCACCACAAAUGAACCCCAAAGAUGAACCCUAAUAUGAACCCCGAGUAAUAACAACCAUCACAAAUGAACCCCAAUAUGAACCCCAAAUGAAUGACAACCGUCAUAAAUGAACCCCAAGAUAAACCCCAAUAUGAAUGACAACCGUCAUAAAUGAACCCCGAGAUGAACCCCAAAUAACAACAAUCGUCACAAAUGAACCCCGAGAUGAACCCCAAAUAACAGAAGAAACCCC